rnacentral:rRNA from 1 species
CGCGUAGGUGGCUAGGUCAGUCGGAUGUGAAAGCCCAGGGCUUAACCUUGGAAUUGCAUUCGAUACUGCCUGGCUAGAGUGUAAUAGAGGAAAGUGGAAUUCCCGGUGUAGCGGUGAAAUGCGUAGAUAUCGGGAGGAACAUCAGUGGCGAAGGCGACUUUCUGGAUUAACACUGACACUGAGGUGCGAAAGCGUGGGUAGCAAACA